CGACCGGCGCACGGGUGAGUAACGCGUAUCCAACCUGCCUUACACUCUUGGACAGCCUUCUGAAAGGGAGAUUAAUACGAGAUGUUAUCAUGAGUAAGCAUUUUCACAUGAUUAAAGGUUUACCGGUGUAAGAUGGGGAUGCGUUCCAUUAGAUAGUAGGCGGGGUAACGGCCCACCUAGUCUUCGAUGGAUAGGGGUUCUGAGAGGAAGGUCCCCCACAUUGGACUGAGACACGGCCAA
rnacentral:rRNA from 1 species